rnacentral:rRNA from 1 species
AUUGAACGCUGGCGGCAUGCCUUACACAUGCAAGUCGAACGGCAGCACGGGUGCUUGCACCUGGUGGCGAGUGGCGAACGGGUGAGUAAUACAUCGGAACAUGUCCUUUAGUGGUGGAUAGCCCGGCGAAAGCCGGAUUAAUACCGCAUACGAUCCACGGAUGAAAGCGGGGGACCUUCGGGCCUCGCGCUAUAGGGUUGGCCGAUGGCUGAUUAGCUAGUUGGUGGGGUAAAGGCCUACCAAGGCGACGAUCAGUAGCUGGUCUGAGAGGACGACCAGCCACACUGGGACUGAGACACGGCCCAGACUCCUACGGGAGGCAGCAGUGGGGAAUUUUGGACAAUGGGCGAAAGCCUGAUCCAGCAAUGCCGCGUGUGUGAAGAAGGCCUUCGGGUUGUAAAGCACUUUUGUACGGAAAGAAAUCCUUGGCUCUAAUACAGUCGGGGGAUGACGGUACCGGAAGAAUAAGCACCGGCUAACUACGUG